ACCAAUUAGUGAUGCUAAACCCCCAAGGCGUGUGGUGUCUAUUGUUCUCUAUCAAUUUUCCCUGCUUAUGAAUGCAAGCCAACAUGUUCCUGAAUAUAUGUCCUGCAACCAGUGGACAUCUGAACAGAAGAAGAAGUGCCUAUGGCAUGCAGAAGCUCCUGGG